rnacentral:rRNA from 1 species
CAGUCGCCACGGGAAUACGAAGGGUGCAAGCGUUACUCGGAAUUACUGGGCGUAAAGCGUGCGCAGGCGGUUUGUUAAGACAGAUGUGAAAUCCCCGGGCUCAACCUGGGAACUGCAUUUGUGACUGGCAAGCUAGAGUAUGGCAGAGGGGGGUGGAAUUCCGCGUGUAGCAGUGAAAUGCGUAGAUAUGCGGAGGAACACCGAUGGCGAAGGCAGCCCCCUGGGCCAAUACUGACGCUCAUGCACGAAAGCGUGGGGAGCAAACAGGAUUAGAUACCCGAGUAGUCCCUGUCUCUUAUAC